UAUCCAGUAACUCCUAUCCCUACCUCUCCGUGGUGCCACCUGGCGUACGAGUAUCCGUAGGGAAGAUCGAAUAACCAACCCCGGUGGGACCUUGGUCGUAUGCUGACAGGGAAGG
rnacentral:ribozyme from 1 species